CCCGCAACGAGCGCAACCCUUAUUUUUAGUUGCCUCUAUGGAACUCUAAAAAGACUGCCGGUUAUAAACCGGAGGAAGGCGGGGAUGACGUCAAGUCAGCAUGCCCCUUACACCCUGGGCUACACACGUGCUACAAUGGGCGAGACAAUGAGAUGCGACUCUGCGAAGAUUAGCUAAUCUAGAAACUCGUUCUAAGUUCGGAUUGUAGGCUGCAACUCGCCUGCAUGAAGUUGGAAUCGCUAGUAAUCGCUGGUCAGCAUACAGCGGUGAAUUCGUUCCCGGGCCUUGUACACACCGCCCGUCACACCAUGGGAGUGG
rnacentral:rRNA from 1 species